rnacentral:lncRNA from 1 species
GCCCAUUCACUUCACUUUCCCCAUCUUUAACCUGUAAACCCUAGCGCCCUAUUUUUUUUGUCCAACUUCCAUGGCCCAAACCCUAGCCGCCGCCCGCCGGAAAUAAUUUUACGGCGGCUGCCAGUCUCCAAACCCACCCAAAUUCACACCCAAUAACCUUCACACCCCCCCAAAACUCAAAUCCCUUGUUGAUUUCCCCAAACAACCCCACAAAUUCCCCGAAAUUCAGAUCUAAAAUUCGAAGAAAACCUAGCUUUGCAUGUUUAUGGGAAUUUCGCCAGAUUAUUUGUUUGUUUGGUUAAAAGCUCACCCCAAAUAGAUUGUUCUUGCCAAGAACAAUCAUUUGGGGUUAGUUUCAAGCCAGUUCGAAAUCUGUCCAAGUUCAGGCUUUACCCCGCCCUUCUCCUUGGGUAUUUUCUUAUCUUUUCCUUUGUUGUUUUGCUUUUGCAUUUUGUUUCUAAGAGAAUUAAAAGAAGUUAAAGGGUUUUGUUUUCAAUUUUGUUUUAUUUGUUCAAGUGCUAUGUGGAUUAGAUUUUAUUUUUUCUUUGAUUAAUUAACAAAUAGGAUUUGCAGUUCAUUAGCAUUAGUUCAACUCUUUAGGCCGAAUUCUUUGUAGUAUUUUUCUUUUCUUGUUUUGUUCUUCCUCUCUGUUCUCUUCAUAAUUGUUGUUUAAUUUGCAUUUACAGUGAUUUGUUUGUUGUUAUUUUUUAAACUUGUCUGCCUAUGCUAGUCAUCAAACAUGUUCGUUUUUGAAGAGUCCUUGUGGAGUUCAUCAUGAACUUGGUUCAUUUUUAGGGUCUAGGUUUUAUUUUAAGUUUCCAAAUGUUUACAAUUUAGUUACACUGUCUAGCUUUGUUAUUUGUUGUUUGAUUCGUCUAUUGAUAUUUGCUUGUUUGCUUCUGUUUGCCAUAAUUUGUAAGUCAUUAAGAAAUUGUAGGUGUUAAUUGAACAAGAAAGAAACUUAAAGGGGUUUGUUUGAAGGGUGGGUAAAUAAGGAAUUUAGAUAAGGCCAUUUAGGAAGCUUCUAGAAUAUGGGCAACUGGCCCUAUUUGGCCAGCACAAAAUGAUGAAGCCAAUGAGGGACAACCAGCUGCCCAAUUCUGUUAAAAGAUGUAUUUUGUGGCUAAAGAGAAUAAUUCCCUUAUCCUUUUCAGCACACGGCAUUUUGGAUGCCCAUAUAUAGAACCUUUCUCAUUCAUUAGAGAGGAUGGAGAACCCUAAAAAAGAACUAAAAGGUUCAGCUACUAUUCCAUUAGCGGCUGGUUCUACUUUCCUUUGAUUUUUGCAAAAACUUAGAAAAAUUCUCCUGAAAUUUCUGGUUUGAGUGUGGACUAAGUUGAAGCUGCUACUGUUGUUGACUGGUUGUUGAUCUCCAUUUAUUUUUCUUUCUGAAGUCCUCACCUCAUUCUGUUCUUUGCUGUAUCCAGGUAUUCUCAUGAGCUUUGAAAUGAACAAAGAUGAAGUUAUAACAUGUUGG